rnacentral:rRNA from 1 species
GACGAACGCUGGCGGCGUGCUUAACACAUGCAAGUCGAACGGAAAGGCCCUGCUUUUGUGGGGUGCUCGAGUGGCGAACGGGUGAGUAACACGUGAGUAACCUGCCCUUGACUUUGGGAUAACUUCAGGAAACUGGGGCUAAUACCGGAUCGGAGCUCCUGCUGCAUGGUGGGGGUUGGAAAGUUUCGGCGGUUGGGGAUGGACUCGCGGCUUAUCAGCUUGUUGGUGGGGUAGUGGCUUACCAAGGCUUUGACGGGUAGCCGGCCUGAGAGGGUGACCGGCCACAUUGGGACUGGGAUACGGCCCAGACUCCUACAGGAGACAGCAGUGGGGAAUAUUGCACAAUGGGCGGAAGCCUGAUGCAGCAACGCCGCGUGCGGGAAGACGGCCUUCGGGUUGUAAACCGCUUUCGCCUGUGACGAAGCGUGAGUGACGGUAAUGGGUAAAGAAGCACCGGCUAACUACGUG